CAGCAGCCGCGGUAAUACAGAGGAUGCAAGCGUUAUCCGGAAUGAUUGGGCGUAAAGCGUCUGUAGGAGGCUUUUCAAGUCCGCCGUCAAAUCCCAGGGCUCAACCCUGGACAGGCGGUGGAAACUACCAAGCUGGAGUACGGUAGGGGCAGAGGGAAUUUCCGGUGGAGCGGUGAAAUGCGUAGAUAUUGGGAGGGACACCGGAGGCGAAGGCGGCUUACUGGAAGAUAACUGACGCUGAGGCGCGAAAGCCAGGGGAGCGAACGGGAUUAGAUACCCCCGUAGUCCCUGUCUCUUAUAC
rnacentral:rRNA from 1 species